rnacentral:rRNA from 1 species
UACGGAGGGGGCUAGCGUUGUUCGGAAUUACUGGGCGUAAAGCGUGCGUAGGCGGUCAUUCAAGUUGGGUGUGAAAGCCCGGGGCUCAACCCCGGAAAUGCGCCCAAGACUGUUUGGCUAGAGACCCGGAGAGGUGAGUGGAACUCCCAGUGUAGAGGUGAAAUUCGUAGAUAUUGGGAAGAACACCAGUGGCGAAGGCGGCUCACUGGACGGGUACUGACGCUGAGGCACGAAAGCGUGGGGAGCAAACAGG